rnacentral:rRNA from 1 species
CGGCCAGGUGUGGUGUUGGGUAGGGGAGCGUCGCAUGUCCGGUGAAGCGGCCGCGUGAGCGAGUCGUGGAGGGCAUGCGAGUGAGAAUGCAGGCAUGAGUAGCGAAUCCACGGUGAGAAUCCGUGGCGCCGGAUGACCAAGGGUUCCUGGGCCAGGCUGUUCCGCCCAGGGUGAGUCGGGACCUAAGGCGAGGCCGACAGGCGUAGUCGAUGGACAACGGGUUGAUAUUCCCGUACCCGACGUGGACCGCAAGGGCCGAGGCCCGUGAUACUAAGCCCGCUGAAAGCCGCGGAAGCCUUCGGGCCAUGUGGUGGGAGGCCGGUGACCUGAGCGGGUAGUAGGUGAGCGAUGGAGUGACGCAGGAAGGCAGCUCAUCCCGGGCGGUGGUUGUUCCCGGGCCAAGGACGUAGGGCGUAGCGUAGGCAAAUCCGCGCUGCAAUAGCCUGAGAUCUGAUGGGGAGCCCGUAGGGGCGAAGUGGGUGAUCCUAUGCUGUCGAGAAAAGCUUCUAGCGAGGGACACGUCGGCCCGUACCCCAAACCGACACAGGUGGUCAGGUAGAGAAUACCGAGGCGCUCGGGUGAACUAUGGUUAAGGAACUCGGCAAAAUACCCCCGUAACUUCGGGAGAAGGGGGACCAUUUCCGGUGAUGAGCCUCGCGCUCUGAGCUGGGGGUGGUCGCAGAGACCAGCGGGAAGCGACUGUUUACUAAAAACACAGGUCCGUGCGAAGCCGCAAGGCGAUGUAUACGGACUGACGCCUGCCCGGUGCUGGAACGUUAAGGGGACCCGU